rnacentral:rRNA from 1 species
AGUGAACGCUGGCGGUAGGCCUAACACAUGCAAGUCGAACGGCAGCACAGUAAGAGCUUGCCCUUACGGGUGGCGAGUGGCGGACGGGUGAGGAAUACAUCGGAAUCUACUUUUUCGUGGGGGAUAACGUAGGGAAACUUACGCUAAUACCGCAUACGGCCUACGGGUGAAAGCAGGGGAUCUUCGGACCUUGCGCGAUUGAAUGAGCCGAUGUCGGAUUAGCUAGUUGGCGGGGUAAAGGCCCACCAAGGCGACGAUCCGUAGCUGGUCUGAGAGGAUGAUCAGCCACACUGGAACUGAGACACGGUCCAGACUCCUACGGGAGGCAGCAGUGGGGAAUAUUGGACAAUGGGCGCAAGCCUGAUCCAGCCAUACCGCGUGGGUGAAGAAGGCCUUCGGAUUGUAAAGCCCUUUUGUUGGGAAAGAAAAGCAGCAGGUUAAUACCCCGCUGUUCUGACGGUACCCAAAGAAUAAGCACCGGCUAACUUCGUG